rnacentral:rRNA from 1 species
UACGUAGGGUGCGAGCGUUGUCCGGAAUUACUGGGCGUAAAGAGCUCGUAGGUGGUUUGUCGCGUUGUUCGUGAAAACCGGGGGCUUAACCCUCGGCGUGCGGGCGAUACGGGCAGACGUUGAGUACUGCAGGGGAGGACUGGAAUUCCUGGUGUAGCGGUGGAAUGCGCAGAUAUCAGGAGGAACACCGGUGGCGAAGGCGGGUCUCUGGGCCGAUACUGACGCUGAGGAGCGAAAGCGUGGGGAGCGAACAGG